rnacentral:lncRNA from 1 species
CAAGGUAAGUGAAAGCGCAGUCGAUGAAGGGAGAAAAUUAGGUGGUGUGAUGAAAUUAGGACAUUUGCAGGCAUAAUUUGUAAUCAGCUAGUGCAAGUCAAGGCUUAUUUGGAGAUUGCUGGGAGAGGCCUUUGUCCUGCAGUGGACAUA